AAGUCUUAAAUUGAAGAGUUUGAUCAUGGCUCAGAUUGAACGCUGGCGGCAGGCCUAACACAUGC
rnacentral:rRNA from 1 species